AAAUGAAGAGAAACAAGAAACAGAUUAAGAGCAUGAUGAUGGAUGAUGGAUGAUUGAAGGGACGUGAUCUGUAAACGCGUGAGGGGUCGGGUGGAGUACUGCAAUAGGCACGUUAAAUUGCGCCGAAAUAGGGCAACAUCUUCCAGACAAGUUGCGUGUUAUGAGAGGCAACUGCACUUUGCACGAAAGUGAGAGACCAUGCAGCAUCAGCACCACCACAUUAUUAACGGCCAAUGGAUUAAAUAAAUCCUCAAAUUUGU
rnacentral:lncRNA from 1 species